rnacentral:rRNA from 1 species
UACGGAGGGUGCAAGCGUUGUCCGGAUUUAUUGGGUUUAAAGGGUGCGUAGGCGGCCCGUUAAGUCAGCGGUGGAAUCCCGGGGCUCAACCCCGGAACUGCCGUUGAUACUGGCGGGCUUGAGUUCGGUGAAGGCGGGCGGAACUGGCGGUGUAGCGGUGAAAUGCUUAGAUACCGCCAAGAACCCCGAUUGCGUAGGCAGCUCGCUGUGCCGAAACUGACGCUGAGGCACGAAAGCGUGGGGAGCGAACAGG